rnacentral:rRNA from 1 species
GAUGAACGCUGGCGGCGUGCUUAACACAUGCAAGUCGAACGGAAAGGCCUGUACUUGUACAGGUACUCGAGUGGCGAACGGGUGAGUAACACGUGGGUGAUCUGCCCAGCACUGUGGGAUAAGCCCGGGAAACUGGGUCUAAUACCAUAUAGGACCACUUCUUGGAUGUUGUGGUGGAAAGCUUUUGCGGUGUGGGAUGAGCCUGCGGCCUAUCAGCUUGUUGGUGGGGUAAUGGCCUACCAAGGCGGCGACGGGUAUCCGGCCUGAGAGGGUGGACGGACACAUUGGGACUGAGAUACGGCCCAGACUCCUACGGGGGGCAGCAGUGGGGAAAAUUGCACAAUAGGCGCAAGCAUGAUGCAGCGACGCCGCGUGGGGGAUGACGGCCUUCGGGUUGUAAACUCCUUUCUCUACCGACGAAGCCACCUUGGGUGGUGACGGUAGGUAGAUAAGAAGCACCGGCUAACUACGUGCCAGCAGCCGCCGUAA